rnacentral:tRNA from 1 species
GGUAAGAUGGUCGAGACUCAGGCGAUAGACUGUAAAUCUAUAUACGAGGUAUAUACCUCUUUUACCA